CCUACGGGGGGCAGCAGUGGGGGAUAUUGCACAAUGGGGGGAACCCUGAUGCAGCGACGCCGCGUGGGUGAAGGAGUGCUUCGGCAUGUAAAGCCCUAUCGGCAGGGAAGAAGCAAGACGGUACCUGACUACGAAGCACCGGCUAACUACGUGCCAGCAGCCGCGGUAAUACGGAGGGGGCGAGCGUUAUCCGGAUUCACUGGGUGUAAGGGGAGCGUAGACGGCCAGGCAAGCCAAGGGUGAAAGCCCGGGGCCCAACGCCGGGACUGCCCUUGGAACUGUGCGGCUAGAGUGCGGGAGGGGAAGGCGGAAUUCCAGGUGUAGCGGUGAAAUGCGUAGAUAUCAGGAGGAACACCAGCGGCGAAGGCGGCCAGCUGGACCGCGACUGACGUUGAGGCUCGAAAGCGUGGGGAGCGAACAGGAUUAGAUACCCCAGUAGUC
rnacentral:rRNA from 1 species